GCCACUUGGACCUGCUCCUAUUAUUCCAAUUCUUGUAUUUACAGGUAGACAUGGAUGUAACUUGGAAAUUUGAUCUUCUAUUGGUAUUUUUGGGUCCAUCUCUUGUAACAAAUGCACUUAAUAAAUUAUAUUAUCAAUCAAAGUUCCAAAACAAUAAUAUCAGAGAAACCAACUGAUCAAACAAAGAUUUGAAACACAACCAAAGAUUUGAAAAACAAUUACUGAACAGAUGAAAACAGGUAAUUUUGCUUUUAUUAAGUCUUAACCAAAAAUGUCAAUAAAAAAGUGGUUAGGAGAAACAAACCUUAAGAGAAAAAUACAGAAAAGCACCUUAAGAGUCCUAUUAACGUGGUUGAGAAAUUUCAUGCACUCUGUACAAACACCAUUGUAUUUGUCUCCAGAAGUUAAGAAAUCAAUUUUUAAGUUGUAUUUUUUUUCACAUAUUAAUUAAUAUUUUCUCUUUCCCACUUAACAGGAGCAAUAAGAAACUGUUGAAGUUGAUCGACUAUAGAAACAGAAGGGAAGAUGAUGGCAAUUGACAAAAGAAAAAGAAAAGAGAGGGAAAGCAAAGGCAAG
rnacentral:lncRNA from 1 species